rnacentral:rRNA from 1 species
GACGAACGCUGGCGGCGUGCCUAAUACAUGCAAGUAGAACGCUGAAGGAGGAGCUUGCUUCUCUGGAUGAGUUGCGAACGGGUGAGUAACGCGUAGGUAACCUGCCUGGUAGCGGGGGAUAACUAUUGGAAACGAUAGCUAAUACCGCAUAAGAGUAGAUGUCGCAUGACAUUUGCUUAAAAGGUGCAAUUGCAUCACUACCAGAUGGACCUGCGUUGUAUUAGCUAGUUGGUGAGGUAACGGCUCACCAAGGCAACGAUACAUAGCCGACCUGAGAGGGUGAUCGGCCACACUGGGACUGAGACACGGCCCAGACGCCUACGGGAGGCAGCAGUAGGGAAUCUUCGGCAAUGGACGGAAGUCUGACCGAGCAACGCCGCGUGAGUGAAGAAGGUUUUCGGAUCGUAAAGCUCUGUUGUAAGAGAAGAACGAGUGUGAGAGUGGAAAGUUCACACUGUGACGGUAUCUUACCAGAAAGGGACGGCUAACUACGUG